rnacentral:lncRNA from 1 species
AUCUCAAGGGGCACUUCCACAGGGGAGCCCUCCUGGAUUUCCUGAUGAUCCCUUGCCACACACCCCCCGCCCCCGCCAACCCCGGGGAUUACAGCCGUCACCACGGUUGGAACUCUGGUCUGCUUGAGGGGUCAUCUGAAGGCUAGUGGAGGAUUCAGGCAGCCAGCUCCGAGGAGCAAGGAGGCCAUCUCCUCUGUUCACCGUGGCAACCACAGUGUGGAUCCCAGUAGGGCACACGGGCUCAGUGAAUGAACGGAACGAAAGGCCCAGCGCCAUGUCCGCUGAGCUCACCGAGCACUCGCUGUGGGCACAUGGAGUUACAGCGGAGGCAGGCUGGUGGGUGGCCCAGCGCGGGACACCUGCUGUAUGAGCACGGGCUAGGCACGUGAGGUGACGCCGCGUCACAGACAUCCCCGGAUGGCAGUGCUGUUGUACCGGAAGCAGAGGUUUCCUUCUGGCUCGCACUCCGCGUUCGUCAUGGGCUGACCAUGACGUUGAGACCCGGGCCAUCUGCCUUUCAGAGGAACUGAGGGUGUCAGGCUGGCGAAGAGGCCGCCGUCUUGAACGUCACCCCAGAAGGAAAGCCCCCUGGCCUCCCCCCGAAUUCCCCAGCGCUUGAGAUGAGGCCCCGGAUGCUGCCUGUGUUCUUUGGGGAGACCAUUGAGGUGCACCCAGAGCCCACGCACGAGAUCCGCAGAAGCAGGACUCACCCCGGAGCCUUCGCGCCAGGUGCCAAGGGGAGGCAUCAAAGCUCUCGGAACGUCCGUCGUCACCUGUGCAAGGAGGGUCCCCGCUCAGCUGUCGGCUUAGAGACAGACCAUGUGGUGCUGCCACACGGGCCGCAGGGCUCCCCUUGCGUCUGAUGCCAGGACAAGCCAGGGGCCACGGGCUGGUGCCGCCCCGGACUGGUGCCCUAAGAGCCCCCAGUGCGGCCUGAACGGACCCAGCAGGUAGGGGGCUGCCCCGCCGCUCCCUUCGUCAUCCCCCACGACGGGGCGGGAUAGAAAGGCUCUGGGACUUUAGCCCCACGUGGGGCAGGAGAAGCAACUGCGAGCUCACGCCCAAGAGAGGCAAAGUGCCUGAUAUAUUUUUAUAAAGCUGCACAGACAGUGCGUGUUCGCCACGGUCCGGUUAACAAAGAAAUAACUUAAGAAUUUGAGUAUCUUAAUAAAAUGUGCAAACCCGAAGAGGCUCCCUCCUCU